rnacentral:rRNA from 1 species
AACGAACGCUGGCGGCAUGCCUAACACAUGCAAGUCGAACGAGACCUUUGGGUCUAGUGGCGCACGGGUGCGUAACGCGUGGGAAUCUGCCCUUGGGUUCGGAACAACAGUUGGAAACGACUGCUAAUACCGGAUGAUGACUCCGGUCCAAAGAUUUAUCGCCCAGGGAUGAGCCCGCGUAGGAUUAGCUUGUUGGUGAGGUAAAAGCUCUCCAAGGCGACGAUCCUUAGCUGGUCUGAGAGGAUGAUCAGCCACACUGGGACUGAGACACGGCCCAGACUGCUACGGGAGGCGGCAGUGGGGAAUAUUGGACUAUGGGCGAUAGCCUGAUCCAGCAAUGCCGCGUGAGUGAUGAAGGACUUAGGGUUGUAAAGCUCGUUUACCCGGGAUGAUAAUGACAGUACCGGGAGAAUAAGUCCCGGCUACCUCCGUGCCAGCCGCCGCGGUAAAAC